GCUCGAGAACAUGCAUUCAAUGCCUAAAAUGUAAACCAACACAGGAUUUUGGCUUCAUUGAAUUACUUAAAUGUGCAUAACGAAUGAAAACACUUUGGAAGUUUGGAUAAUGCACAGAUACAAGACAAUUUUACGAUGGUAUCACUUUUUAUCAACUUCUCAUUUGUUAGAACUAUACUAGUUUUUUUUAUUUUGCGACAUUGAAGAACAGUGCAUUAGUCCAUUACAAGAAGGCAGGCCACAGUAGACCACUUUUUCAUAUGCUAAAUAGCACUCGAUAUCAUUACCCAAGACCAGGAACAGAUAAGAGUUACUAACCAAGCCACCACCUUCAUCAUCAU
rnacentral:misc_RNA from 1 species